rnacentral:rRNA from 1 species
AACACAUGCAAGUCGAGCGAUUCUCUUCGGAGAAGAGCGGCGGACGGGUGAGUAACGCGUGGGUAACCUGCCCUGUACACACGGAUAACAUACCGAAAGGUAUGCUAAUACGGGAUAACAUAAGAAAUUCGCAUGUUUUUCUUAUCAAAGCUCCGGCGGUACAGGAUGGACCCGCGUCUGAUUAGCUAGUUGGUGAGGUAACGGCUCACCAAGGCGACGAUCAGUAGCCGACCUGAGAGGGUGAUCGGCCACAUUGGAACUGAGACACGGUCCAAACUCCUACGGGAGGCAGCAAUGGGGAAUAUUGCACAAUGGGCGAAAGCCUGAUGCAGCAACGCCGCGUGAGCGAUGAAGGCCUUCGGGUCGUAAAGCUCUGUCCUCAAGGAAGAUAAUGACGGUACUUGAGGAGGAAGCCCCGGCUAACUACGUGCCAGCAGCCGCGGUAAUACGUAGGGGGCUAGCGUUAUCCGGAUUUACUGGGCGUAAAGGGUGCGUAGUCGGUCUUUUAAGUCAGGAGUGAAAGGCUACGGCUCAACCGUAGUAAGCUCUUGAAACUGGAGGACUUGAGUGCAGGAGAGGAGAGUGGAAUUCCUAGUGUAGCGGUGAAAUGCGUAGAUAUUAGGAGGAACACCAGUAGCGAAGGCGGCUCUCUGGACUGUAACUGACGCUGAGGCACGAAAGCGUGGGGAGCAAACAGGAUUAGAUACCCUGGUAGUCCACGCCGUAAACGAUGAGUACUAGCUGUCGGAGGUUACCCCCUUCGGUGGCGC